UACGUAGGGGGCAAGCGUUGUCCGGAUUUAUUGGGCGUAAAGAGCGUGUAGGCGGCCAGAUAGGGCCGUUGUGAAAACUCGAGGCUCAACCUCGAGACGCCGAUGGAAACCAUUUGGCUAGAGUCCGGAAGAGGAGAGUGGAAUUCCUGGUGUAGCGGUGAAAUGCGCAGAUAUCAGGAAGAACACCCGUGGCUAAGGCGGCUCUCUAGUACGGUACUGACGCUGAGACGCGAAAGCGUGGGGAGCAAACAGG
rnacentral:rRNA from 1 species